rnacentral:rRNA from 1 species
UACGUAGGGGGCAAGCGUUGUCCGGAUUUACUGGGCGUAAAGAGCUCGUAGGCGGUCUGUCGCGUCUGCUGUGAAAAUCCAGGGCUCAACCCUGGACCUGCAGUGGGUACGGGCAGACUAGAGUGCGGUAGGGGAGAUCGGAAUUCCUGGUGUAGCGGUGAAAUGCGCAGAUAUCAGGAGGAACACCGGUGGCGAAGGCGGAUCUCUGGGCCGUAACUGACGCUGAGGAGCGAAAGCAUGGGGAGCGAACAGG